GGUUAAGCGACUAAGCGUACACGGUGGAUGCCCUGGCAGUCAGAGGCGAUGAAGGACGUGCUAAUCUGCGAUAAGCGUCGGUAAGGUGAUAUGAACCGUUAUAACCGGCGAUUUCCGAAUGGGGAAACCCAGUGUGUUUCGACACACUAUCAUUAACUGAAUCCAUAGGUUAAUGAGGCGAACCGGGGGAACUGAAACAUCUAAGUACCCCGAGGAAAAGAAAUCAACCGAGAUUCCCCCAGUAGCGGCGAGCGAACGGGGAGCAGCCCAGAGCCUGAAUCAGUAUGUGUGUUAGUGGAAGCGUCUGGAAAGGCGCGCGAUACAGGGUGACAGCCCCGUACACAAAAAUGCACAUGCUGUGAGCUCGAUGAGUAGGGCGGGACACGUGGUAUCCUGUCUGAAUAUGGGGGGACCAUCCUCCAAGGCUAAAUACUCCUGACUGACCGAUAGUGAACCAGUACCGUGAGGGAAAGGCGAAAAGAACCCCGGCGAGGGGAGUGAAAAAGAACCUGAAACCGUGUACGUACAAGCAGUGGGAGCACGCUUAGGCGUGUGACUGCGUACCUUUUGUAUAAUGGGUCAGCGACUUAUAUUCUGUAGCAAGGUUAACCGAAUAGGGGAGCCGAAGGGAAACCGAGUCUUAACUGGGCGUUAAGUUGCAGGGUAUAGACCCGAAACCCGGUGAUCUAGCCAUGGGCAGGUUGAAGGUUGGGUAACACUAACUGGAGGACCGAACCGACUAAUGUUGAAAAAUUAGCGGAUGACUUGUGGCUGGGGGUGAAAGGCCAAUCAAACCGGGAGAUAGCUGGUUCUCCCCGAAAGCUAUUUAGGUAGCGCCUCGUGAAUUCAUCUCCGGGGGUAGAGCACUGUUUCGGCAAGGGGGUCAUCCCGACUUACCAACCCGAUGCAAACUGCGAAUACCGGAGAAUGUUAUCACGGGAGACACACGGCGGGUGCUAACGUCCGUCGUGAAGAGGGAAACAACCCAGACCGCCAGCUAAGGUCCCAAAGUCAUGGUUAAGUGGGAAACGAUGUGGGAAGGCCCAGACAGCCAGGAUGUUGGCUUAGAAGCAGCCAUCAUUUAAAGAAAGCGUAAUAGCUCACUGGUCGAGUCGGCCUGCGCGGAAGAU
rnacentral:rRNA from 1 species